rnacentral:rRNA from 1 species
UACGUAGGUGGCAAGCGUUGUCCGGAAUUACUGGGUGUAAAGCGCGUGUAGGCGGGAGGCCAAGUCUGCUGUGAAAUCGCUCGGCUCAACUGGGCGGGGUCGGUGGAAACUGGUCACCUGGAGGACGGUAGAGGCGAGUGGAAUUCCCGGUGUAGUGGUGAAAUGCGUAGAGAUCCGGAGGAAUACCAGAGGCGAAGGCGGCACCCUGGGUCUGACCUGACACUGAUCCGCGACAGCAUGGGGAGCGAACGGG